rnacentral:lncRNA from 1 species
UUGAAGUUUGAGACGACCCCACUCACGGCGAUGCCUUUAAUACCAAACCCGAGAUACGAGACAAAGAGAAACGUGAUGGGCAAGUGGAGAACACUCGCGACGGCCGUGCAGACUGAUAAAGGAAGAGUCUUUGCUUGCGUCCUAAGGUAAACUCUCAAAGGGUGUAAGAAAGAUUGAGCUACGAGGUCAGGAACAGAGUAAAGAAGAAAGAUGUGAGCUUCAGAGGCAAGAUCCUUGUCCUGUUUCAGCAUUUCAAGAAUCUUCUCGAUGUUGAUCCAAAGAAGUGAAACGGGGAGAGAUGUGAGGAGGAGGAGGAGGACUCCUCGCCGGAUAGUGGCUGUGACGAGGUUAUAGCGUUUUGCGCCGAAGGCUUGAGAGCAGAUUGAUUCGACGCCCAUGGUUAAACCGGAGAAGAGGGAGUAACCGGUUAUGUUGGCGAAUGCGAGUGCUAGGGAGCCUCCGGCGAGAGUUGGGCGGCCGAGACCGCCGAGGAAGUACAGACCCGAUCCUCGGCCUCGCCGACCCUCUAAGAACGCCGCAUCCCGUCGUCUGAGGGCAGUUCCCAAGCUCGCAAAGGCCAACGAUCGGCAGUACCAUCGAAGUCAACUUAAUGAUCUCCUCAUCAUCCGUGAAAAGCCUCGCCCACAUGUUUCUCACCGAGACGGUGAACGUGAGGGCAGUGAACCCUAGGGCGAUGCUGAGACCGAGUCCGACAACGGCCGCUCUCCUCGCUCUCAUUGGUCGGUCCGAGCCCAGUUCGUUCCCGACACGUGUCGAGACACCGAAGCUUAAAGAGCUAGGGAAAAUGUAGACGAGAGAAGUGAUUUGGAUGAGUAUCCCCAUCGAAGCAACGGUUGCUUUAGGGUUUAUGAGAAACCCACAAAGCAGAAUCAUAAUCUCGUAGCACCACCACUCGAGACAAACCGAUACGCAGCUCGGUAACGCGAGAUUGAUCAGCUUCUUCCAUUCUCUUACACUAUCUUCAACCUCCUCCUCUACUAAAACCUCCUCGUUGAGACCUACCUUGUCUUCCAAGAAACGGAUGUAGAUGAAGAGAAAGACGACAAGGUUGAAGUUUGAGACGACCCCACUCACGGCGAUGCCUUUAAUACCAAACCCGAGAUACGAGACAAAGAGAAACGUGAUGGGCAAGUGGAGAACACUCGCGACGGCCGUGCAGACUGAUAAAGGAAGAGUCUUUGCUUGCGUCCUAAGGUAAACUCUCAAAGGGUGUAAGAAAGAUUGAGCUACGAGGUCAGGAACAGAGUAAAGAAGAAAGAUGUGAGCUUCAGAGGCAAGAUCCUUGUCCUGUUUCAGCAUUUCAAGAAUCUUCUCGAUGUUGAUCCAAAGAAGUGAAACGGGGAGAGAUGUGAGGAGGAGGAGGAGGACUCCUCGCCGGAUA